rnacentral:tRNA from 1 species
GCCUGGGUGGCUCAGUCGGUUAAGUGUCUGACUUCAGCUCAUAUCAUGAUCUCGCAGUUUGUGGGUUCGAGUCCCGCCUCAGGCU